GAUGAACGCUGGCGGCGUGCCUAAUACAUGCAAGUCGAGCGCGAGAAUGAGGAGCUUGCUCCUCAUGAUCGAGCGGCGGACGGGUGAGUAACACGUAGGCAACCUACCCUUGAGAUUGGGAUAACUACCGGAAACGGUAGCUAAUACCGGAUACGACUUUUCCACACAAGUGGAAUUGUUAAAAGGCGGAUUUAUCUGCCGCUCAUGGAUGGGCCUGCGGUGCAUUAGCUAGUUGGUGAGGUAGUGGCUCACCAAGGCGACGAUGCAUAGCCGACCUGAGAGGGUGAUCGGCCACACUGGGACUGAGACACGGCCCAGACUCCUACGGGAGGCAGCAGUAGGGAAUCUUCCGCAAUGGACGCAAGUCUGACGGAGCAACGCCGCGUGAGUGAUGAAGGGUUUCGGCUCGUAAAACUCUGUUGUUAAGGAAGAACACUUGAGGUAGUAACUGGCCUUGAGAUGACGGUAC
rnacentral:rRNA from 1 species